UGGGGAAUUUUGCACAAUGGAGGAAACUCUGAUGCAGCGACGCCGCGUGAGCGAUGAAGAUCUUCGGAUUGUAAAACUCUGUCCUUAGUGAAGAUAAUGACAGUAACUAAGAAGCAAGCCCUGGCUAAAUACGUGCCAGCAGCCGCGGUAAUACGUAUGGGGCAAGCGUUGUCCGGAAUUAUUGGGCGUAAAGGGUACGUAGGCGGUUUAAUAAGUCCUAAUUAAAAGGCUAUGGCUCAACCAUAGUAUGGUUAGGAAACUGUUGAACUUGAGUAGAUGAGGGGAAAGUGGAAUUCCAUGUGUAGCGGUGAAAUGCGUAGAUAUAUGGAGGAACACCAAUGGCGAAGGCAACUUUCUGGAAUCAAACUGACGCUGAGGUACGAAGGCGUGGGGAGCAAACAGG
rnacentral:rRNA from 1 species